rnacentral:lncRNA from 1 species
UCGAUUUUAUGAUAAUACUAAAAAAAUCCAAAAAAUAUUAGUUAUUUCACCAUCCUUUUUGUUUGAUGGAGAACAUGUACUUGUAAGUGUUUUAAAGGCUCCUAAUCGAUUCCUUUGGUUCAUUUCUUGGUUAUUGAAAGCUUGUAUGAUUAUAGCACACUUUUUUAAGUGUUGAUUGUUAUCCUUAACAUGUUAAACUUGAUUAUUUUUAUACCAUAUCUCAAUUGAUUCACCUUGAAAACAUGUUUGAAUGAAUGGUUAGGAGGUGAU